rnacentral:ncRNA from 1 species
AAAAAUGCAAUUAAGAAGAGAAAGAUAUUCCGAUUUGAUUUUAGAGAGCUAAUUCUUGGUGAAAAUUAGCAUCAAAAGAAUAUGUAAUACUAGCUUCUUAGGCAGUUUAUCCCAAAAUGAAAAUUAGUAGGAUAAGACGUUUUCCACCGUUAUAUGGAUACUAGAUAUUGGUCUAGGAAAGAGGCAGAUUACUGUGAAUUAGGGUGGUAACACGAAAGGUUUAUCCUUCGUCCCUAUA